AGCUAUUACAGCUCUUUCAGAAUUUUAUCUAGCAGAUUUUCUGACUUUGGUCAGAAAACUCAC
ensembl:snRNA LOC120102615 U7 small nuclear RNA